rnacentral:rRNA from 1 species
ACGUACACUCCUGCGGGAGGCAGCAGUGGGGAAUAUUGCACAAUGGGCGCAAGCCUGAUGCAGCCAUGCCGCGUGUAUGAAGAAGGCCUUCGGGUUGUAAAGUACUUUCAGCGGGGAGGAAGGCGAUAAGGUUAAUAACCUUGUCGAUUGACGUUACCCGCAGAAGAAGCACCGGCUAACUCCGUGCCAGCAGCCGCGGUAAUACGGAGGGUGCAAGCGUUAAUCGGAAUUACUGGGCGUAAAGCGCACGCAGGCGGUCUGUCAAGUCGGAUGUGAAAUCCCCGGGCUCAACCUGGGAACUGCAUUCGAAACUGGCAGGCUAGAGUCUUGUAGAGGGGGGUAGAAUUCCAGGUGUAGCGGUGAAAUGCGUAGAGAUCUGGAGGAAUACCGGUGGCGAAGGCGGCCCCCUGGACAAAGACUGACGCUCAGGUGCGAAAGCGUGGGGAGCAAACAGGAUUAGAAACCCUAGUAGUCCCAUGA